rnacentral:lncRNA from 1 species
GGGAACAAUGAUGAGCAUAUGAAAGAAAUGCCCCAAACAUAAUUAUGGAAAUUAUGUGAAAUAUUAUAAGAUUUGCAUACUUGAUUCACUUGUGAAACUUUCCUGUACUUGAUGUCUUUAUAGUAAAAUGGUGUUAGUUAUACAUACUAGUAUUAUUCCAUGGCACUAACAUCACUUUUGAUGGGGGCGCUACAUUUUUAAAUGAAUUUAGGUGGCUCCAUAGCAGAUAGUGCCGAUCGUGUGUAGCGGAGCAUCCUUCUGCACAAAGAUUUGGUGAGCCCCUUUCUCCUCCAAGUGGAUUAUAUCGUGUACCUUUUUGUUAUUGUGUACGUCCACUUUUGAGGUAUAGCCGGGGCCUUGUUGCUGGCGUUGUUAUACUUAUCUUUUGUAUCCCUAGAGGCUCCAUAGACAUAUGAGUGGGUUAUG